UAGAUUAAUGUCAUAAGUGGGGUACCUUAGGGCUCAGUUUUAGGCCAUUUGCUCUUUUUGAUGUACAUCAAUGACAUAGAUGAAGGAAUAUUCGCUCAAU